AGGGUUGGCCCUUUAUAAAAGAGAGCCCAGCCCAAGGGGGUGGAUCCGCCCGGUACCUGAGUGGUUGGGCCCCGAGGGGGCUGGGCCUAACCCGACACCUGCCACCUACAGGCCGGACUCAGGUGGGGGCAGCAGAGAGCUGCUCCCACCCCGGAGCCCACUCUAGCGGGGCUCCAGCUCCGGAAAGAGGGAUUCCUUCCGGAAGCGUAAAGCUGGAGAGAAACCCUGGCCUGCCGGAGCCCUCUGUCACAGAGACUGGGUUGGGGUCAACCAGCCACUGCAGCCCUACUCCUCCCGCUUGUCCCCUUCCCCCCUUUAGGAAAAUAAACGCAAGGAUUCGGAAGCUUAGCAGGAAAGGGAUCCCACGGCAGCUGACACCCCAGAGACGCCUCCCCGUGUGCUUUUCUGCACUUUGAGUGAUUAUGAAAUUCUUCCCAGACUGGAGGGCAGGGCAUCUAGGGUCCAGAUCCUUGAACCUGAGGCCAGCCAUCCGCCUAGUGUCACCUGGGUUACUGCUAUAUCCUCAGCAUCCGGUGCCGCUGGGUGAAUAAUUGUAGAAUAAACACACAGUGUGACACACGGGCUGUCUUCCCUCUGGGUCCGUGAGUGCAAGAAAUGAGAACCAACAGAGCACGCUCCUGGACGCAACCUAGUGCCUCCCUCCCUCCCAGGAUCCCAGGACUGCCUGGAGCAGUAGGCCUUACUAAACGGCACAGAGAAUGAGGAACAAGAGCUAAGGAGAGAAAGAUGGGGGAGCAACGGAGAGAGGGAAGCUGUACUGUUAUUGCCCCUUGCAGGAGUGGUUCCCAUAGCACCCAGUGGGUGACUCACAGGAAGGGAGGCAGAACUGUGCGGGGUGGGGCGGGAUGGGGGGCACUGCUAGGGAGGCGAGCUGGAGCCACCUGGACCCUCUUUCUCUUCCCAGGCCAGAGGAGAUGGAGAAAGAGUCCCUGCACCUGUCUCCCUGAACCCAUUAUCAGAAUGAGUCAGACAGCAGGUUGGAGCAGAGCACGCACCUACUCUGGCCUCCAGACGUGUUGAACCAGCAGGAGGAAAUCCAGUUAGUACCAGUUUGCACCAGGCCCUCUCCCAGCCCCUGCAAACAAUACUUAAUUUCCAAAGAGUGAAUUGAAUGCAUGCCGCCCCGCUCCCCAACAAGCAGCCACACAGGCAAGGUGGGGAGAUUUCUCCUUCCAGAGACCAAAGGGAGGGGGUGUGGGCCCUCUGCCAAACCUUGGACAGGGAGCAGGAAAGAGAGAGGGAGGGGCCGGUCAGACAGGUAUGGCAACCCUGGGGAGGGAGGACACCAGCGCCCCCGUUCCUUCCCCUCCCCCACACCAAGGCAGAUUAGGGGGGAAAGGGAGGGGUGGGCGGCGGGGGCGGGGGUGGGGGGCACAAUAUAACAACCCAGAGCCAGUCCUGGGAUCCCAGCCCCUCCACCCCCACCCGCCUGGUUCCAGAAGUGCCUGCUGUUUAAGGUGAGGACAAAGGGGACUAUGGGGAACCCUGUGGUUUUUAAGCUGUAGAGCUCCCCGCAUCUCAAGGGGAGCCCAGAACCAUCCAGGGCUAGAAGUAUGGGCACCUCAUCUGUCAGCUCCCUGUGGCCCAGAGACCCCAGGGACCCCUCCCCUGACGCCCCAAGCCAGCCUCAAUGCAUAGGAAGGCCUGGGCUGCCCUCUCCGGCGACCCCGACCCCUGCUGGGAUCCGGGCGGAGGCUGAAGGGAAAGGCCCAGGGCCCAGGGCCAAGUGGUGAGGGAAGGGAAAACCAGCCUAGGGCAGCCACGGACGGACGGACGCAAGUCCUUGCGAGGCUGACUCUGGCCACUGCGGUCUGCCCAACAAAGGGGAGAGUGUUUGCAGCCACCGCGUGACCGGAAGGGAAGGGCCGGAUGACUGCCCCAAACUGCCUUAACGGCCUGUUCCCAAGAACUGAAGGAGGAAAGAGGAGACGGAUGGCAUGUCACAGAAGACCCCAGGAGGCCCUGAGCCCUGGGCAGCUGUGGGGGGGGGCAGAGGUGGGUGGCAGGGCGGUGGCUGCCAUCGCAUGGCUUGUCACCAGGAAAGAUGGUCUGAGCCAAGCUGCUCUCGGUGAUCAGGACACCUGACCCAGGACACCACGCCCCCAGCACGCUCUUCGCGGGGGCCCAAACAGAGACGAGCCAGAUGCCCACCAACUGACGAACGAGCGGACAAGCAAAAAGUGAUGCAUUGUGCGACGGGAUGUCAUUCCCAGGCAGGAGGAAGGAAGCGGUGACUGGGCUACGACGCGGGUGAAAGCAGUGAGGGCAGCCGGUCGCGGAAGGCCACAGGCUGCAGGAUCGAUUCGGAUGAAAUGUCCUCAACGGGCAAAUCCAUAGAAACAAAAGAGAUUCUCCAGGCUGGGGAGCGUGCAGAUGAUUGCUGAAGACUACAAGGAUUCUCGGGGCGCCCGGGGGGCUUGGCCCGGUUCAGCGGACUCUUGAUGUCAGCUCAUGUCAUGAUCUCACGGGUGAGGACAUGGAGCCCUGCGUCGGGCUCCACGCUCAGCGGACAGUUGGCUUGAGAUUCUCUCUCUCUCUCACACACAUACACACAGUCUCUCAAAAAAAAAAAAAAUUUUAAGAAAAAAAAUUCUUGGAAAAAUGAGCAAUUUAAAAUCUUAUUGUUGGUCUAGAAAUAGCCGAGUUUAGCACCUACGCAGCAAGAACAAUUAUUUUGAGUAGGAAGCCACAGAUGGUGGGAGCGCCCAUCAGUAAACCGCAUCAUGAAUAAUAAAGUUGAUUUGAUUGUUGAUUUUUGUGCCGUGUGCCUCAAGGCCAAAAUUGUUCACGGUCAAUGUUCAACAAACGGUGGUUCUUCUUCUUCAGGAAGAACGGCGGCUCCGGUGAUUACAGGCUGCCACAAUGAGAAUGGGCUGCCUGGAGGGGUGCGAGCUCCUGACCUGAGAAGUACUGAGGCUAGGGCUUGCUUACCAGCUGUCCACCCUGCUCGCGCGAGGACUCCUAGGUCAGGUAAGGGUUUGGACCAGAACUUCCAGAUCCUCCCCACUCUGUGAGCCCUUGAUCCACUUCCCACCACCAUAGAACUUCCCAUAUAUGUUCCCACAUAGGCGUCCACAAUGUUCUCCGGUUUCAAACUUUGAUUUUGAUAGGACAUGUGAUGACAAGUUAUUCGAACAAUGGGGCAUCUGGGUGAUUCAGUCGGUCGGGCGCCGGACUCUUGAUGUCAGCUCAGGUCUUGAUCUCAGGGUUGUGAGCUUGAGCCCCACGUUGGGCUCUGCCCUGGGUGUGGAGUCUACUUAAAUGAGACACACAAACUUGCAUCUGAGUAGAAAAAUGUCCCUUUAUGCCUCAAGAUUCUUCUGACCGGUCUAAGAAUUCAACUGACAUGAGACACAUUAGCAGGAGACAUCAAAUUUAGUUACGGACGGGGGAAUUCUCAUAAACGUGAGAGAUUCCGAAGACGGUUGGGCAAAAUGAGGCGUAUAUGUCACCCCGAACUAAGGAGGAGGCCGUAGGGGUCUGGGGCUUCUAAGGGAAGGAAAGCAAUUCACAGGAAGGUGGAAAAGAGUAAAUAUUUGGUAAACAAAUGUUUGCUGGGCCCGUAAGGAAACAAUGGGACACAGAGAAGAAUUUUAACAGACUUUGCUAAACCCCUCCUGUCUACCACCCCCGGUUCAUACUAUACUGUAAUCUGUGGCGAGGGCUUCCUUCCUGGAGCAGGUCCUCUAUC
rnacentral:lncRNA from 1 species